AGACGACAACAACCGCCACAACUGCAGCCACACAAAGGCGCCUUCCUUCUACUCCCGCUCCCACCCAGGCGGAGGCGCCGAUGAUGCCAAGGAAGCGGCGACCACCUCUCGGCCGCCUAGCGCUCGCUCGCCCUCUUCCCCCUCUAGCUGGGGAAAGGGGGAGGGGACCACCGGGCGCCCUCACCUGGCACAGCUGCUGACAGUAGUCGGUGGCCGCUUCCACGGCCGGUACCCGGCUCUCCCGCAGCUGUAGCUCCAGCUCCUGGAGCCGCUCGCCCAGGCGCUGCAGCUCCGCGACGCAGCCGCCUUCGCCGCAACUCAACCUCUCCUGCUCGGCCUCUUCGUCCGCCAUCUUCACACCCCGCUCCGUCGCGUACGCACCUGGGUCACGUGAUAACACAAUGCCACGUUCGGCGGGGUCACGUGCCGGGCGCGCUUGCACGGCGCCGAGCACGUACAAAGGGCCCGAUGGGGAAGAUAUGGGGGUGGGGAGAGUGGCGCGAGAGAGCCCGAGGGAGGUGAAGGCAAGGGGAAAGGAGAAGGGCGGGGUUGGGGCGGUGCGGAAAACGGCGGUUUACUUACCCCGAGCGGGAAGUGGGCAGCAGCGGCCGAAAGGGGCGGGCUGGUGAAGGCCUGCUCUCGGUCACGUGGGCGCCGCGACGGGAAAAAGCCUAGGGAGGGGCGACCCUCUCCGGCGUCCCGAUCCCGGCGUGGCUUUCCCCAGUCCACGAAGUCUUCUACGGACAUAUCCUCCUGUUCCCCAAGAGGAUGGCACAGGGAGAGUUCUGAGUGGUCUCGGGCAAUGGCUGCAUUUGCUGUUGGCCUGUAAGCAGGCCAGAAGCAGAGGAAGAGAGAGAAGGUAAAACCCGCCCAUGGACCGCAAGCGUGAGAGCCAAGGCAGGACUAUGAACUGUCAAAAUUGUCUCUGACUUCUCACCAGGCCGGAGAGGAGGGAUCUAGUGCGUGAGGCACUACUUGGUUUGGGACAAGUCAGAGGCGAAUAAAAGCUCUUCCUGCCUUGAAGAAGCUUACAGUUUUGUGGGAAAAUGAUCUGCAAUGGGAAUACAUACGAUAUGACAAAUGUUCUAUUAUGAAAAUGCAUGCCUGUAUUCAACUUAGAACAUCAAAGUAAUCUCAGAUACUAACAAGAAUGUCCAACGAAUCUCUACAUAAGUGCAGGCUUUUUUUUUUUUUUUUUUUUUUAAUGAGAAGGAUUGAAAAUACUAUCCCGUGACAGGUCAACCUUGUCUUGGAAAUCUCAGAAAUCUCAAUCUUAUCCAUAGAAAAGUCAUGACUUCUGUGCUUAUGUCCAUUUGUUCUUUAAAUACCAAACUGUCAGCUCAUAGGAACCAUUUACACACACACACUGACACACACACAAACACGCACACCCCUACUUACUGAGAUGUUCCUGGGGAGAUUCGAAGACCUGUUCCAUUGAGAAAACAAGAAUAAGCCCCUGGGGCAAAAGACUCCGCGUCUCUGGGGAACUCAGUAUCCGCGCCGCGAGCACCCAUGCCCAUUUUGAACACAACGCGACUGCUAAGGACGUGGUGUAAUCAUAUGGACCUUCACUCCCAAGAGACUCGAUUUCAGAGAAAAUCUGGGAGACAAAUUUAGAUCCCUACCCGCACCCACGCGAUCAAUAAAGCUGGGGAGACCUUUGGGGGAGGGGACAGAUGUGCUUGCAUCCGGGCCGUGCGUGCCUGCUUCACGGGUUUUCCGGGCAGCACCGGCCCGCACACGCCGGUGCACUCUUUUUCUGGAAUUCUUGAAAUAGCCGGGCCUGAGGACAGUAAGGGAGCUGAGUUGUGUCUGCUACAGACAAGCGGCGCAGAGCCUGGGGGCCAAGCCAGGGAUGCAGGGAGCGCGGCGUUAGCGGAUGACGGAUAGCUCAGGGCUAAGGCCUGGCAGGUCCUUCCUACCCCCGACCCAGUACACCCCGCAGCCCCGCCCUCGCCCCAGCACGCGAGGUGAAAGCGCGAGGCCCGGGGAUGGCGGAGAGCGUGCGCCACUAUCGGGGCGCUGUCUCUUGCCCCGCUCUCGCCCUGGGCCGGAGAACGGAGAAGGUCCGCAGGCCUCGGGCCACGGAGGGCACCAGAUCGGUCCGCUCUGCUCCGCUAACCCAGCCUGCGCCCCUCCACCCCGCCAAGGCCCUGCUGGGCGCUGCGCCGGUUGCUCGCGUCCUCUGUUGUCGCGGAGCCGCCGCCGCCGCCGCCCGCGAACCAGCAACGCCGACACCCAGCAGUUGCAGGCCCGGCGUUUGCCGCCGCGGUUUUUCCACCCAGCACUGAGGAUCAAGCCCGCUGUAGCCUGGCUGCGACUCCCCGCUUGGGAGCAGAGGCCGCCAGGGGCCUCCAGGCCGAGAGAUUCUGGAGCCUUUCCAGGGCGCGGCGGGGAGCGGGGCCUCCGGAAACCCACCCCGGGGAUGCUGGAGUCUGUCCUGCAGAGGCCGUGGCGCGGGCACUGCUGCCUGAUUUCGAAGAGGCUCCAUCAACCUACUCUCUUCCAAAGGGCUGGGCAGCCCAGCCACAGACAGGCAGCCUCUGGAUCUCAGAAGUGAGGGACGGAGUCUAUCCUGGGUUUGGUCCAGUAGAAACCCCCCACCCCCACCCCCAGAGUCUGGGAACCAGUGCUGUGCCCACAGAUGCAAAGAGAAAGAGCAUGGGUUAAAGCGCUAUUGGGAUCGGUUAGACACCACACUUUUCCAAGGAAGACAUUUUCUUCGAGAGGAACAGCAAAAGGAGUCAAUAUAAUGUUAAAAAUAUUAAGGCAGGUGCUGUGCCACAUGUUGAAGUGAUUCCAAAAGCAGAGAAAACAUGGGACUCACAUUUAAGAGGAUUAAUUGUAGCCUUUGAGUUUUUCCCAGAAAAAAAAAAAAGGCUAGCAUAUAUAUUUUCAUAUAUUUAUAUGAACAGGUAAUUAAAUAAGGAGGGAUUUUAAAAAAUUGUCUAUUUGGAUAUCGUUUUCCUUUCCAUUUGAGGAAAAGCCAAAUGCAAAUAAGGAGAAUAAUAUUUAAAGAACAUGCUUUUAAUAGAGCCUCAAUUAUCCUUCUAAUUUAACCAAGAUGAAAAUAAUUGUGAAAUAAAGCAAAAUAAAAUCUUGGAAGCAUAAAUGUGUUAUACAUUGUUCUUUUGUUUGUUUGUUUGAGACGGAGUCUCACUCUGUCUCCCUAGGCUGGAGUGCAGUGGCG
rnacentral:lncRNA from 1 species